UUAAGCGACUAAGCGUACACGGUGGAUGCCCUGGCAGUCAGAGGCGAUGAAGGACGUGCUAAUCUGCGAUAAGCGUCGGUAAGGUGAUAUGAACCGUUAUAACCGGCGAUUUCCGAAUGGGGAAACCCAGUGUGUUUCGACACACUAUCAUUAACUGAAUCCAUAGGUUAAUGAGGCGAACCGGGGGAACUGAAACAUCUAAGUACCCCGAGGAAAAGAAAUCAACCGAGAUUCCCCCAGUAGCGGCGAGCGAACGGGGAGCAGCCCAGAGCCUGAAUCAGUGUGUGUGUUAGUGGAAGCGUCUGGAAAGGCGCGCGAUACAGGGUGACAGCCCCGUACACAAAAAUGCACAUGCUGUGAGCUCGAUGAGUAGGGCGGGACACGUGGUAUCCUGUCUGAAUAUGGGGGGACCAUCCUCCAAGGCUAAAUACUCCUGACUGACCGAUAGUGAACCAGUACCGUGAGGGAAAGGCGAAAAGAACCCCGGCGAGGGGAGUGAAAAAGAACCUGAAACCGUGUACGUACAAGCAGUGGGAGCACGCUUAGGCGUGUGACUGCGUACCUUUUGUAUAAUGGGUCAGCGACUUAUAUUCUGUAGCAAGGUUAACCGAAUAGGGGAGCCGAAGGGAAACCGAGUCUUAACUGGGCGUUAAGUUGCAGGGUAUAGACCCGAAACCCGGUGAUCUAGCCAUGGGCAGGUUGAAGGUUGGGUAACACUAACUGGAGGACCGAACCGACUAAUGUUGAAAAAUUAGCGGAUGACUUGUGGCUGGGGGUGAAAGGCCAAUCAAACCGGGAGAUAGCUGGUUCUCCCCGAAAGCUAUUUAGGUAGCGCCUCGUGAAUUCAUCUCCGGGGGUAGAGCACUGUUUCGGCAAGGGGGUCAUCCCGACUUACCAACCCGAUGCAAACUGCGAAUACCGGAGAAUGUUAUCACGGGAGACACACGGCGGGUGCUAACGUCCGUCGUGAAGAGGGAAACAACCCAGACCGCCAGCUAAGGUCCCAAAGUCAUGGUUAAGUGGGAAACGAUGUGGGAAGGCCCAGACAGCCAGGAUGUUGGCUUAGAAGCAGCCAUCAUUUAAAGAAAGCGUAAUAGCUCACUGGUCGAGUCGGCCUGCGCGGAAGAUGUAACGGGGCUAAACCAUGCACCGAAGCUGCGGCAGCGACGCUUAUGCGUUGUUGGGUAGGGGAGCGUUCUGUAAGCCUGCGAAGGUGUGCUGUGAGGCAUGCUGGAGGUAUCAGAAGUGCGAAUGCUGACAUAAGUAACGAUAAAGCGGGUGAAAAGCCCGCUCGCCGGAAGACCAAGGGUUCCUGUCCAACGUUAAUCGGGGCAGGGUGAGUCGACCCCUAAGGCGAGGCCGAAAGGCGUAGUCGAUGGGAAACAGGUUAAUAUUCCUGUACUUGGUGUUACUGCGAAGGGGGGACGGAGAAGGCUAUGUUGGCCGGGCGACGGUUGUCCCGGUUUAAGCGUGUAGGCUGGUUUUCCAGGCAAAUCCGGAAAAUCAAGGCUGAGGCGUGAUGACGAGGCACUACGGUGCUGAAGCAACAAAUGCCCUGCUUCCAGGAAAAGCCUCUAAGCAUCAGGUAACAUCAAAUCGUACCCCAAACCGACACAGGUGGUCAGGUAGAGAAUACCAAGGCGCUUGAGAGAACUCGGGUGAAGGAACUAGGCAAAAUGGUGCCGUAACUUCGGGAGAAGGCACGCUGAUAUGUAGGUGAAGUCCCUUGCGGAUGGAGCUGAAAUCAGUCGAAGAUACCAGCUGGCUGCAACUGUUUAUUAAAAACACAGCACUGUGCAAACACGAAAGUGGACGUAUACGGUGUGACGCCUGCCCGGUGCCGGAAGGUUAAUUGAUGGGGUUAGCGGUAACGCGAAGCUCUUGAUCGAAGCCCCGGUAAACGGCGGCCGUAACUAUAACGGUCCUAAGGUAGCGAAAUUCCUUGUCGGGUAAGUUCCGACCUGCACGAAUGGCGUAAUGAUGGCCAGGCUGUCUCCACCCGAGACUCAGUGAAAUUGAACUCGCUGUGAAGAUGCAGUGUACCCGCGGCAAGACGGAAAGACCCCGUGAACCUUUACUAUAGCUUGACACUGAACAUUGAGCCUUGAUGUGUAGGAUAGGUGGGAGGCUUUGAAGUGUGGACGCCAGUCUGCAUGGAGCCGACCUUGAAAUACCACCCUUUAAUGUUUGAUGUUCUAACGUUGACCCGUAAUCCGGGUUGCGGACAGUGUCUGGUGGGUAGUUUGACUGGGGCGGUCUCCUCCUAAAGAGUAACGGAGGAGCACGAAGGUUGGCUAAUCCUGGUCGGACAUCAGGAGGUUAGUGCAAUGGCAUAAGCCAGCUUGACUGCGAGCGUGACGGCGCGAGCAGGUGCGAAAGCAGGUCAUAGUGAUCCGGUGGUUCUGAAUGGAAGGGCCAUCGCUCAACGGAUAAAAGGUACUCCGGGGAUAACAGGCUGAUACCGCCCAAGAGUUCAUAUCGACGGCGGUGUUUGGCACCUCGAUGUCGGCUCAUCACAUCCUGGGGCUGAAGUAGGUCCCAAGGGUAUGGCUGUUCGCCAUUUAAAGUGGUACGCGAGCUGGGUUUAGAACGUCGUGAGACAGUUCGGUCCCUAUCUGCCGUGGGCGCUGGAGAAUUGAGGGGGGCUGCUCCUAGUACGAGAGGACCGGAGUGGACGCAUCACUGGUGUUCGGGUUGUCAUGCCAAUGGCACUGCCCGGUAGCUAAAUGCGGAAGAGAUAAGUGCUGAAAGCAUCUAAGCACGAAACUUGCCCCGAGAUGAGUUCUCCCUGACUCCUUGAGAGUCCUGAAGGAACGUUGAAGACGACGACGUUGAUAGGCCGGGUGUGUAAGCGCAGCGAUGCGUUGAGCUAACCGGUACUAAUGAACCGUGAGGCUUAACCUU
rnacentral:rRNA from 1 species